CAGCAGUAGCCGCGGUAAUACAGAGGGUGCGAGCGUUAAUCGGAUUUACUGGGCGUAAAGCGUGCGUAGGCGGCUUCUUAAGUCGGAUGUGAAAUCCCUGAGCUUAACUUAGGAAUUGCAUUCGAUACUGGGAAGCUAGAGUAUGGGAGAGGAUGGUAGAAUUCCAGGUGUAGCGGUGAAAUGCGUAGAGAUCUGGAGGAAUACCGAUGGCGAAGGCAGCCAUCUGGCCUAAUACUGACGCUGAGGUACGAAAGCAUGGGGAGCAAACAGGAUUAGAUACCCCUGUAGUCCCUGUCUCUUAUAC
rnacentral:rRNA from 1 species